GGCCACAGCCAAAUCCCCCUGCAGCCCAAGACCGGUUACUCACUGAAGCUAAGCAGGGCUGAUCCUGGUCAAUACCUGGAUGGUAGACCUCAUGGGAAAACUUUGUUGCUGUUGGAA
ensembl:rRNA 5S_rRNA 5S ribosomal RNA